UAGUAACGGCGAGUGAAGCGGCAACAGCUCAAAUUUGAAAUCUGGCUUCGGCCCGAGUUGUAAUUUGCAGAGGAAGCUUUAGGCGCGGCACCUUCUGAGUGCCCUGGAACGGGACGCCAUAGAGGGUGAGAGCCCCGUAUAGUUGGAUGCCUAGCCUGUGUAAAGCUCCUUCGACGAGUCGAGUAGUUUGGGAAUGCUGCUCAAAAUGGGAGGUAAAUUUCUUCUAAAGCUAAAUACCGGCCAGAGACCGAUAGCGCACAAGUAGAGUGAUCGAAAGAUGAAAAGCACUUUGAAAAGAGGGUUAAAUAGCACGUGAAAUUGUUGAAAGGGAAGCGCUUGUGACCAGACUUGCGCCGGGUUGAUCAUCCGGUGUUCUCACCGGUGCACUCUGCCCGGCUCAGGCCAGCAUCGGUUCUCGCGGGGGGAUAAAGGUCCGGGGAAUGUAGCUCCUCCGGGAGUGUUAUAGCCCCGGGCGUAAUACCCUCGCGGGGACCGAGGAUCGCGCUUCG
rnacentral:rRNA from 1 species